rnacentral:rRNA from 1 species
AUUGAACGCUGGCGGCAUGCUUUACACAUGCAAGUCGAACGGCAGCAUGGGUGCUUGCACCUGAUGGCGAGUGGCGAACGGGUGAGUAAUGUAUCGGAACAUAUCCGCAAGUGGGGGAUAACGUAGCGGAAGUUACGCUAAUACCGCAUAUUCCCUGAGGGGGAAAGGAGGGGAUCCGCAAGGACCUUUCGCUUACGGAGUGGCCGAUAUCAGAUUAGCUAGUUGGUGGGGUAAAGGCCUACCAAGGCGACGAUCUGUAGCGGGUCUGAGAGGAUGAUCCGCCACACUUGGACUGAGACACGGCCCAGACUCCUACGGGAGGCAGCAGUGGGGAAUUUUGGACAAUGGGGGCAACCCUGAUCCAGCCAUGCCGCGUGAGUGAAGAAGGCCUUCGGGUUGUAAAGCUCUUUCAGCUGGAAAAAAAUCGCAUCACCUAAUACGUGGUGUGGAUGAUGGUACCAGCAGAAGAAGCACCGGCUAACUACGUGCCAGCCGCCGCCGUAACAC